rnacentral:rRNA from 1 species
GACACGGUCCAGACUCCUACGGGAGGCAGCAGUAGGGAAUAUUGCGCAAUGGGGGAAACCCUGACGCAGCAAUGCCACGUGAGUGAGGACGGCCCUCGGGUUGUAAAGCUCUGUCCUAUAGGAAGAACGGCUUUGGGUAACGCCAAAGUUUGACGGUACUAUAGAAGAAAGCACCGGCUAACUCCGUGCCAGCAGCCGCGGUAAUACGGAGGGUGCAAGCGUUGUUCGGAUUUACUGGGCGUAAAGCGCGCGCAGGCGGAUUAGCAAGUCAGAUGUGAAAUCUCGGGGCUCAACCUCGAAACUGCGUCUGAAACUGUUGAUCUAGAAUAUCAUAGGGGGUAGGGGAAUUUCACGUGUAGGGGUAAAAUCCGUAGAGAUGUGAAGGAACACCGGAGGCGAAGGCGCCUACCUGGAUGAUUAUUGACGCUGAGGCGCGAAAGCGUGGGGAGCAAACAGGAUUAGAUACCCUGGUAGUCCACGCCGUAAACGAUGAGUACUAGUUUUCAGAGGUAUUGACCCCUUUGGGAACGCAGCUAACGCAUUAAGUACUCCGCCUGGGAAGUACGGUCGCAAGACUAAAACUCAAAGGAAUUGACGGGGGCCCGCACAAGCGGUGGAUUAUGUGGUUUAAUUCGAAGCAACGCGCAGAACCUUACCUAGGCUUGAAAUCCUACGAAUUUGGGGUAAUUCCCGAAGUGCUCGCAAGAGAAUGUAGUGACAGGUGCUGCAUGGCUGUCGUCAGCUCGUGUUGUGAAAUGUUGGGUUAAGUCUCGCAACGAGCGCAACCCCUAUCUUUAGUUGCCAGCAUUCAGUUGGGCACUCUAGAGAGACUGCCCGGGUUAACCGGGAGGAAGGUGGGGAUGACGUCAAGUCCUCAUGGCCCUUAUGCCUAGGGCUACACACGUAAUACAAUGGUGCAUACAAUGGGAAGCGAUCAUGUGAAUGUUAGCAAAUCUCAAAAAGUGCAUCUCAGUCCGGAUUGGAGUCUGCAACUCGACUCCAUGAAGUUGGAAUCGCUAGUAAUCGUAGAUCAGCAUGCUACGGUGAAUACGUUCCCGGGCCUUGUACACACCGCCCGUCACACCAUGGGAGUUGUUUUCAUCUUAAGACGUGACUCUAACCUCGUGAGGAGAGCGUCUACGGUGGGAGCGAUGACUGGGGUGAAGUCGUAACAAGGUAGCCGUAGGGGAACCUGCGGCUG